GAGUCCACACAGCUGGGCUGCCAUCAGCACUGAGCAGAUCCUCCGGGGCAGGGGAGCUAGUCUUCCUGAUGCCCUAAGGGCCGGGUCUUCUUCGUGUUACCCCUGCUGGUGCCUAGCACAGUGCCUGGCCCCCAAGAUUCACUGGGUUCCAGAACAUAGCCCAGCUCGGCAGCUGGCCUACCGGGAGGAGCAGGGUUGAGUCCUCUGUCCUGGCCCAGCCACAGCUGGUCCUCAGCAGGAGCAGACCCUGGGGCCCUGGACACAGAGCCACGCCCACUCCUCUGCUGCAAUCUGGACAGAGAGACCAGGAUGGGUCAUGAGGACUCUGCCAGGGGACCCCAGUGUUCACGGCUCCAGCUGGGCUAUGGAGAGGGCAUCAGACAGAGCUGAGUGGGUACCGGGCUCCAGCAGCUCCAUUGCCCAACUGGCCCGCCCUGGUUGCUAGUUUCGCCGGACAGCGUGCCACAUGGACACGGGCCUGCGCAGCGUGGCCAACAUCUGGUUCCAAUGUGUGGUUCCCAUGCCACUGGCUGACGGCCCAAUGAUGACAUGGCCCACGUUGUCCCCACGGCCGUCGCUGCUGCUCUCAGCCACCGUCACGCGGAGAGACAGGUCCUGAGGAAGAGG
rnacentral:lncRNA from 1 species